ensembl:lncRNA
GUUCUCAGGCCCAGUCUUCAAAUUCUACCGCCCGCUUGUCGUGCUUUGAGGCAGAAACGUGCAUCUUGUUGCCGGAACGAAGAACGGAAAUAGAUGCCAGUGUUUCUGCUCAGUGUUGUUUUUCUAACUGACCACUGGAACUUUUCUGACUACGUGUGCGGUAAUCUGCAGGAGGAGUAUAUUGCCUCCAAUCAAGUGCCCUCCACACGGUAUGGCAUGAUGUUGCAAAAUGGAGUGAAAGUCUUCCUUCUUCAUGAUCCCUUUUACCCUGUACACAUCUCCCACUUCACCACCACAGCACCCCCAGACCAUCACAUUGCCUCCACCAUGCUUGACAGAUGUCGGAAUCACCUACUGAGAAAAGGCAUCUGGAUGCUCCACGUAAUUGUUUUGGUCCAAACCAGUAAUUUCCACACUAGUGACAAAAGCGGUGCAGAUAAACACGUUGUUCAUGGAACAAUUGCCAGGAUACACUCUGCUUCCCUGGCCCAAUUACGACUCCUGGCUUCACAAUCCAUGUUGAUAAGCACACUCGUAAUGGUUUGCUGUGUGCCAUGUGCUGUUAACUGCUCCAGCUUCUGGCUAAACAAUAUGUAACAACAAGGUACAAUAAGUGAACAUUCCUGAACGGUAGGUCUUUGCUUACAUGUUGUGAUCAUGUGCCCAGGUACCAGACAACCAAAACAUAGUCCUCUACCUUUGAGCAUGUCAAUUGCAAAACAGACUGAGGGAUUAUCAGCAGGGCCUUGUUGCUUUUACAAUGGGUAGAACAUUGUUGGCAUAUCUACAAAUGUAUUCCCAGGGCGUUGCGUAAGGAUUUGGGCUUGGCGAUCAAUAGGUAGAGCAGGACUGGCAAAUUUAAGAUAAUUUUCCAUUCCUUUCCUGAAGACCAAAGACAAAACCUCUCAGUUUGUUUCUUUAGCUUGAAUGAAAGUUUUGAAAUGAUGGUUUUCAUGCUGCUUGGGCAGUCCAUUUACUCUGUAAAUUCCCCAUUAUGAAUUGUGUUAGGACUCUCAGAGUCUGCAUAUUUUUGAAGAGCCCCGGGACUUCAGUCUUUAUCAAUGGCC